rnacentral:pre_miRNA from 1 species
UCUUAUGGAUGAGCAAAGAAAGCAGUUUCCUGAGGUUGAAUCUACUCCCGGUGAAGAUGCUAUGAA